GGGCCUGUAGCUCAGUUGGUUAGAGCGCACCCCUGAUAAGGGUGAGGUCGAUGGUUCAAUUCCAUUCAGGCCCACCA
rnacentral:tRNA from 1 species